CCACCGUAGGGGUUAGCCAGAACCACCGUAGGGGUUAGCCAGAACCACCGUAGAGGUUAGCCAGAACCACCGUAGGGGUUAGCCAGAACCACCGUAGGGGAUUAGCCAGAACCAAGCAAGAACCACCGUAGGGGUUAGCCAGAACCAAGCCAGAACCACCGUAGGGGUUAGCCAGAACCACCGUAGGGGUUAGCCAGAACCACAGUAGGGGUUAGCCAGAACCACAGUAGAGGUUAGCCAGAACCAAGCCAAAACCACCAUAGGGGUUAGCCAGAACAACCGUAGGGGUUAGCCAGAACCAAGCCAGAACCACCGUAGGGGUUAGCCAGAACCAAGCCAGAACCACCGUAGAGGUUAGCCAGAACCACCGUAGGGGUUAGCCAGAACCAAGCCAGAACCACCGUAGGGGUUAGCCAG